rnacentral:misc_RNA from 1 species
AUUUAGAGGAAGGAGAAGUCGUAACAAGGUUUCCGUAGGUGAACCUGCGGAAGGAUCAUUGUCGAUACCUGCACAGCAGAACGACCCGCGAACCCGUAAAAACACACCGGGGGGCUCGGGGCCACAUGCCUCGUACCCUCUUUGGUCGGGGGCUGCACCCGUGACCCGCCUGGCGGUGCACGUGUGCCGCUCUCCCGGCCGCACAAACGAACCCCGGCGCAAACCGCGCCAAGGAAAACCCAACGGAUUGGCAUCGCCCCGUCGCCCCAGAGAUGGUGUGCGGUCGGGGUGUGCGUCGUAUUCUAUCAAUGUCAAAACGACUCUCGGCAACGGAUAUCUCGGCUCUCGCAUCGAUGAAGAACGUAGCGAAAUGCGAUACUUGGUGUGAAUUGCAGAAUCCCGUGAACCAUCGAAUCUUUGAACGCAAGUUGCGCCCGAAGCCUUUAGGCCGAGGGCACGUCUGCCUGGGCGUCACACAACGUUGCCCCCCCCAUCCCCGACCCCGAGGGCGGAGGGGGCGGAUGCUGGCCUCCCGUGCGCCGCGGCGUGCGGUUGGUCGAAAUGCGAGUCCUCGGCGAUGGGUGCCGUAACAGUCGGUGGUUGUCCAACCCUCGGUGCCCUGUUGCGUGCACGGAUCGUCGUUGCGGAUCGAGAGACCCCAAUGCGCCGCUGCUGCGGCGUCUCCAACGCGACCCCAGGUCAGGCGGGGCCACCCGCUGAGUUUAAGC